GAACCAAACAGACCCUAAAACUCUUCCCACUUCCUCUUCUUCUCAUGAGACUCACCAUGGAGCAUCAAGAAAUUCAUCCUCACUUCAUUUGAUUCACAAUCUUGCAUGAUUACUUCUAAAAAAUAAAAAUAAAUCAGCAACCUCUCUCCCUACUCUCCUUACCCUCCACGCAGCAGCAGCAACAACAACAACAAUUGCCUUCAACCCAUUUUCUUCUCAACCUCAAAUUAAUCCCAAAUCUACCAUGCAAUUCACUUCUUAGGUUCCUAAGCUCAAGUGGAACAAGUGGGUUUGGUGGAAGAGUAGUAUUGUUGCAAGAGAAGGUCAGAAGCAAGGAUUAGAGAGCUAUUAAUGGGUCGGAGGAGUUGGAAGAGCUCAUAGCUAGCUUUUAAGUUUCUUGGGUGUUAUUGGCACUUUAAGCUAACUCAAAUACGGUCGUUGUGGUACUGGUUGCAUAAUUUUUCGACUGAGCGAUGAGGUCGAUAGACAUUUUUGAAGUUGGAAGUCAGUAGCAGAGUUUGUGCAGAAAAUCUGGUUUUUUGGUGUUUUAUGGACUACGGAUUUGCAUUUUGAGCGGCACUAACGGAUGAUUAUAAGCAUGCGAAACAGUUUGGAAUCGCUAUCAAACUCAGAUAGUCAGGUUUACUAGAGCAAGGACCAGGUGGGAACUGUUGGUCGAGACUGAGAUUGGAUUACCCGAUGAGAAGAAUUGUCUUCUUCCUUGUUUUUGUAUUAAUAUGUUGUUUCCAUUAGUUUCCUUCCGCUGUGAAUUUUUAUAAUUAGAAGUCAUUCUGUAAUUUAAUGUACUCGGAUUCAAUUAUGUAUAUUCCGACUAAAUAUUCUAGACAUUUUAGUUGGGGUGUUAUAAUUGGUAUCAGAGCAGGUCGAUCCAGUAUUGGACCUUGCCAUGAGUCAUUAAGGUUCAAUCCAAAGAAGUACGGACCCUUUGGAGUCUGGACUGUUUACGCUGAAAUCAUCGCGUGCUGAGCCCAAUCAACUCAGUAUCGUGUAUGGUAGGCAGGGUAUUACGGUUGAGAACCGAAGUGGACCAAGGUGGUCAAGUAGUAAGAGCGCAGUAGAAGCACGAAUUCAGAGGCAGUUGUGAAUGAAGAUCCUUUGAACCGGAUAUUGGAACUGGAGUAGUCGACGCCACAGGAGUAAGUAGUGUAACACCAACAAGUGGUGCAAAGAAUUCGGAAGAAGUACGUGGUAGCAGUAGUAAGAGGUAUGUUAAAAGGUGCAAGAGAUUGAUGCGCUCGAAUGUUGGGAGCGGGCGUAACUAUUUAGAGGAUCUUGAUAAAAAGGAAAACCCAGUAUUUGAAUAAGCGUUGACCGAAAUAGAAUCGAAAUGGAGUAUAGAAGUAGGACCCUCGAAUGAAGAUAGUAAGUCUGAAUUGUGCAAUGAGACAGAUGAUGGACUUGGGAGACUGGGCACAGUUUAAUUGAAAUGUGUAGUAUGCAAGUAGUAACUAACCGACACAUUAGUGUUGUGUGAAUCUUUCGGAACCUAGAAUUAACCUUCUGUCCUUGUGAACCUUUAUCAGUAACAUGUCGAUCCAAGUAUGACCUAAUAGUCAGUUAGCCACAACUUUUCCUAAAAUUGUUAAUCUUCGGUGCAGUCCAGAAAUUCAUUUUAGUGUCAACAGACCCAUUAACUACCUCUAUUGGAGAAUUCAAACUAGACCACAUAUAUCCCAUUGUUUUUCUAAAGUAAGUCUAUCGUACUAUUCAUUUAGAAUGAGUUACACCAGAUGUCCUCGAGGAGAAAAUUUCAGCCUCUCAGCCCGUAACCAGUAAUCUUACCAGACCACUAGAAGUCAAGCCUUACCCAGUAUAACAAUUAGAAUUUCGUCUUAAUGAUACCAGUCAUUCAAGUAGGUCUGUUAAGUGUCGUUACUCAAUUAACCUUAAAAUUAGAAACUCAAUUUUAUAUUAGUCUUAAUAAGUCAAAAAAAAAAAAAAAAAAAAACCCUUAGGUGUUCAAACCUUACAGCCAAUACCCAUCAGAGUCAGUUACACAUCCUUGUAAGAGCUUGUCAGCGAAAUUUCAAAUUAGAAUCAAGUUUUUCGUAACUUAAGAGAAUUGCCGAUAGAAAGAAUUUGUGGAGUAUGAGCUUGAAAUCAGUAGGAAGUAGACCCUAACGUUUAUAGUAGACAGUAAUGACUAGAACCGAUACGGUGGACGUGACGAAAUAUAUUUCGAAAUAAGAUACGGGGAAGUAUGUAAGCUGGUACUAGAUUGGUAGUUCAAUGAUAGUUAAGUCGAGACGACAAAACCCCUGACUCUAAGCAGAGAGUGGAAUGAAAUCUUAAGCGUGCAGUGUCAAUUAGAAUUGUGUGGCGUGUAAACCUUAGAGAACAAGUUGCCAUCCAACCAUGGGAACACUAACCGGGUAUAAUUCGUUGAAUUGAGCAAUGCAUGAUUCGAUAUCAGCAAGCCGUAGAAAAUCAUAAAUGUGCGUGAUCUCCAAUUUGUCUGAUUAUGCCUCAGAUAAAUAAUUUCUUUUUAUGCCUUAAUGCCUAUCAGCAAUGUUCGACAAAUAAAUUCAAAUAAAAUGAGAACCUCCCUAUUUUCUCGUUAUUUAUCAGUCAAACGAACGUUUAGCGUAUUAUUUUCAAGAUCUCUGCCCAAAAUAUCUUUAGCCUUUCCGUUACAUUAUUAAUGAUCAAUCCAGAUCAGCAAAAGUUCAAUUACUCUAAAAGGACACGAGUAAAUCCAGUUUAAGUGCCCACUUGUCCUGUAAUUCUUGUUACCCUGUUAAUCAGUAUCAUUAAACCCUCUAGAUACAAAUGACUCAGUUCAGUGUCAGUUUCGGUAAAACACUUAGAUCUUCCAUGUGCUUGAAAUUCGAAAUUGUUUAACCAAUCGAUUUACUCAACCUUCCUUAUAAGAUCUCAUCAACUAGUUUCGAAUAAGAUCCAAAUCCUCCCGUGUUCAAGGGAAUUAAGAAGAAAUAAUAAGGUCAAUAUUAAUUGAAAACCCUUUUCAGUCCCAUCCAUAGUUAUCAGAAUAGACUAGUGUAAGCCUGAGAGUAUUAGCCAAUAAACACGAGUGUUCCUUCAGGCAACUACCAAUUAUUCUAGUGAUUUGUUUGUUGAUACCUAUAAGCAAUCUAGAGACAAAUAACUCCAUUAGUAUUGCCACUAGCAUUUUAAGACAACAUCUUUUGUUACUCGACUGUUUGAACAGUGAUCCUUCAUUAGAACCUUAUCAGCAUGUCAGUCUAAUAUUUUAGUCUCAUCUUAAAUAUCUCUGACAAAAUGUCUUCAACUCCCAAAUUCCAAUGUCAGCAACUAGUUCGAAUCAGUGUACGCUGAAAUUUCUCGCUGCGUAUUGAAUUGUCUCCUUUUGAAAAACAUCAAUUGUCCUAGCUAAUCUGUUAUUUAACCUCAUUAAGCACUCCAGAGUUAAGCGAUUCAAAUUAGUUCCGGUAUUAGAAAUUCAAGACCUUAUGUGCUUAACCACCGAAUUGGUAACUAGACUGUCUCAAUCAAUUUCUUAUCAAAAUCCUACCAGCUAAAUUCCGCCAAGAUCCAAUUCUCGUUUUAGAAGAAUGUCGGUAGAAUUGGAAGUUAAGCAGAGUUGACUCGUGGAUAACAUCAGUGAAUGUAGUAAGGGUUAGCGUUAGAUCAAUUAAGUCACCAUAAGUGGAGUAUGACGAGAAAGAUGAAACACGGUGCCGAACGCGAAGCGGUGAAAAGACUAAAGGACAUGAAACAACUAGAAAACGAUAUGAGUGGACGUGUAGCAAAAAUAUAAGGUUGCGAUAAAGUGUUAAUUAUGCAGUGGUACGUCUGACAUCACAAAGCGAUGCAAGUUUUGAUUUAUGAGGUUGUACGACGGAAAAGGUAGUGAUGUGAUAUGUGAUAGGAAAUAGAGACAAUUAAUGCAAUAUCUAGUAGACUGGUUUUUAGAAGUAAAGUACGGUAGAAGUAUACGCUGGACGAGAUGCAAUGAGGUAUAACGCAUUCGGGAAUUGUAGACGUUGGUUGUAUGGACACAACCAGAAAGAUGCAUUGGUAAUUAAAACCAGAGUGCGCAGCAGAAUAUUGGUUGAGAAUGUUGAAAGAUUGGCUUUUAGGCCAAUAGCUCUUUAAGAGAGGAAAGUUUUAUUCCAAGAAAAUUGUCGUAGAUGAUUGUAAGAUAAUUGAAAAAAGUGUGACGAGUAGGUUACGCGUAAGUCCACACUUAAACUUUGGAUUGUAGUAACGGAGUACCUUUGAGGGCAGGGAUUGCGUUGUAAAAACAGUUUAAAUGAGGAGUUUAACCUGGUGAAAUAGUAAGAACAAGUGUGCAUCGGUGUCGUUUUAAAGAAUAUAGAUAUAGAAAGGCUAAUAUAAGAUGAACACGCACCUAAGAGUUGUAAUGUGGACUACAGUUGGGAGUUCGAGGUCAUGAAUUGGAUAAGUAGGGAUUCAAAUAGUAGCAUAAACACUACUAAUGCAAAGAAGAGUAAUGAUGGGUAAUUAUGGAAUAACUAAUUAUGACCAAUUAAGAGACGGAGUUAGAAUCUGAACGAGUUAUAGGCAAUUACCCGGUGAUAUAUGUAGUAGUUUCCGAAUUUCGAGGACGAAAUUCUUUUAAGGGAGGUAGAUUGUAACGACCCAACUCUAAUUAAUAAUAAUAGUAUUAAUUAGAAACCCCAAAUUGAAAUAAGAAUGAGGUUUAUUGGAUGAAUCAGAAGAAAUUUUUAAGGAAAAAUACAAGUAUGUUUGGUGUUAAGAAAAAGGGGUACAAUUAGUAGUUAUGACAAGCUGAGAGACAAAUGUGUAAAAUGAUUUUUGGCUGUUUAAGUGAAAUUGGAGAGAGAGAAAACAAAAAGUCAGUAAAACUCUCCCCACUUCCUCUUCUUCUCACGAGACUCAAGAAAAGAAAUAAAUCAGCAACCUCUCUCCCUACUCUCCUUACCCUCCACGCAGCAGCAACAACAACAACAACAAUUGCCUUCAACCCAUUUUCUUCUCAACCUCAAAUUAAUCCCAAAUCUACCAUGCAAUUCACUUCUUAGGUUCCUAAGCUCAAGUGGAACAAGUGGGUUUGGUGGAAGAGUAGUAUUGUUGCAAGAGAAGGUCAGAAGCAAGGAUUAGAGAGCUAUUAAUGGGUCGGAGGAGUUGGAAGAGCUCAUAGCUAGCUUUUAAGUUUCUUGGGUGUUAUUGGCACUUUAAGCUAACUCAAAUACGGUCGUUGUGGUACCGGUUGCAUAAUUUUUCGACGAGCGAUGAGGUCGAUAGACAUUUUUGAAGUUGGAAGUCAGUAGCAGAGUUUGUGCAGAAAAUCUGGUUUUUUGGUGUUUUAUGGACUACGGAUUUGCAUUUUGAGCGGCACAAACGGAUGAUUAUAAGCAUGCGAAACAGUUUGGAAUCGCUAUCAAACUCAGAUAGUCAGGUUUACUAGAGCAAGGACCAGGUGGGAACUGUUGGUCGAGACUGAGCUUGGAUUACCCGAUGAGAAGAAUUGUCUUCUUCCUUGUUUUUGUAUUAAUAUGUUGUUUCCAUUAGUUUCCUUCCGCUGUGAAUUUUUAUAAUUAGAAGUCAUUUUGUAAUUUAAUGUACUCGGAUUCAAUUAUGUAUAUUCCGACUAAAUAUUCUAGACAUUUUAGUUGGGGUGUUAUAAAUUUUAUUAUAUUUAUUGUACCGUAAAAA